rnacentral:rRNA from 1 species
AGAGUUUGAUCAUGGCUCAGAUUGAACGCUGGCGGCAGGCUUAACACAUGCAAGUCGAGCGGUAACAGGGGGUGCUUGCACCCCGCUGACGAGCGGCGGACGGGUGAGUAAUGCUUAGGAAUCUGCCCAGUAGUGGGGGAUAGCCCGGGGAAACCCGGAUUAAUACCGCAUACGCCCUUUUGGGGAAAGCAGGGGAUCUUCGGACCUUGCGCUAUUGGAUGAGCCUAAGUCGGAUUAGCUAGUUGGUGGGGUAAAGGCUCACCAAGGCGACGAUCCGUAGCUGGUCUGAGAGGAUGAUCAGCCACAUCGGGACUGAGACACGGCCCGAACUCCUACGGGAGGCAGCAGUGGGGAAUAUUGGACAAUGGGCGGAAGCCUGAUCCAGCCAUGCCGCGUGCAGGAAGACCGCCCUAUGGGUCGUAAACUGCUUUUGUACGGGAAGAAACCCCGCUACGUGUAGCGGGUUGACGGUACCGUAAGAAUAAGGACCGGCUAACUCCGUGCCAGCAGCCGCGGUAAUACGGAGGGUCCGAGCGUUAUCCGGAAUCACUGGGUUUAAAGGGUCCGUAGGUGGACAGAUAAGUCAGGGGUGAAAUCCCGCGGCUCAACCGUGGAACUGCCCUUGAUACUGUUUGUCUUGAGUCGUUGUGAAGUGGCUGGAAUGAGUAGUGUAGCGGUGAAAUGCAUAGAUAUUACUCAGAACACCGAUUGCGAAGGCAGGUCACUAACAGCGUACUGACACUGAUGGACGAAAGCGUGGGGAGCGAACAGGAUUAGAUACCCUGGUAGUCCACGCCGUAAACGAUGGUCACUAGCUGUCCGUCCCGCACCUGCGGGAUGGGCGGCCAAGCGAAAGUGAUAAGUGACCCACCUGGGGGAGUACGUUCGCAAGAAUGAAACUCAAAGGAAUUGACGGGGGGCCCGCACAAGCGGUGGGAGCAUGUGGGUUUAAUUCGACGCCACCGCGAAAAACCUUUCCUGGGCCUUGACAUGCAAAGAAAUUUUCCCAAAAUGGAUUUGUGGCCUUUCGGGAAAUUUGACACAAGGUG